GCAGCGGACAGGAAAAGACAUCUUCAAGCCCUGUGCUCUACAGCAAAGAUUACACCCAUAUCCAGGUUUGGAGCAGCUCCCAGUCCUAAAUGCGCUCAGGAGGGCUACCGGCCCCCCCAGCCCCCGCCUUGCCCACGCCCACAGCCGAAAGCAUUUGCUGGAUCACAGCCGGGAUAGUCCGGCGGGAGACAGGAAGUCAGCUCCCUGCCUGCGGAGCUGCACGCGCUCACACCUGCGCUUCGCUUCCCCAGAACAGAAGCCUUGCUCACGGUGCUCCUCCCCUCCAGCGGUCGGGGUCAGGCUGUGUCCCCUCAGGUAGUAAAGGCCCUCCAUGGCUGGUGACCAGACGAGCUGUUCUCACAGGAAACGCUGUUCCACCGCCUUGUCAUCAUCGCCGCGUGAGGCUGGGCCAACCCCCCGCGGCCUGGAGGCUUCCCUGGCGCUAGGAGCCCAGGGCCGGUGUCAGACCUGUAUGGGCCAGGGAGCCAGGACUCUGCUGUGGGGAACUACAUCAGCACUGCCAGCCCCCAGCCUGGAUCUGGGUUUGGACACAGCCUCGCGGGGCCGUUGAUUGCGACAGCUUUUACAAAUGGAUACCAUUGAGCAGGUGGUCGGUUGCCAUCUCAUUAGAGAGUCUAGCAGGUGGUCCGGGAAAGACAGGCCGGAGUUUCUGAUUGGCUCUGUGUGCAGGUGAUGUCAUCAAACCUCAAGCACUACAGCAUCACCUAGACUUAAAGACAGAGAUGGAACCACAGAACAAAAGAAAAGUAAAAAUCAUCUCAGAAAAAAACAACUGCUGUACCAGAAUCCAAGCCUGGAUUGUUUUGAUGUUUCCUGUUGAUUUCAUUCACCUUCAUUUAGAGUGUUGAAUUAGUUUUAAAAGAGUCAUUUUAGUUUUAUCAUAAUUAUUUGUGUUGAUUUUAUUUAACCUUUUAGUGUAUUCAUGUAAACUGAUUGUGUUUCUCUCUUGGGAGGGGGGGGGGGGCGGUCAUUGCUGAGGUGGUUUGAAAAGUUGUGUCUUCACCUUUGGUACCAAUUGUAAGAGGAAGAAAUAUGAGUUUCAGAGUGUCGUUUUGCACACAAAAGAAAGCCAAAGUGGAAAGGCUUGGUGAAAAAAAAGAACAUUUCAGAAAAAGACAAAUUGGGAGGGUAACUAAUGAAUCUUAGUAGCUGUUUUUAAUUCUUGUGAUGUCUCAUUGUUAACCAUAAUUACCUAUUUUUGGGCAAUACGAAGAGGACUCCAAUAUUUUUAUGGUCCUUUUUUAUAAGUGUCGUUUUGUUGUUUAGAAAAAUUGUAUUCUAUAACAAAUUUCAUAUAAUUACAUUGUGAAUUUAAACUUAAGAAAAAAAAAUUACUGUACAUAUUAUUCCAGUCACUGCAUAUAACCAACUCAAUGAGAGAAUAGCAUAUUUUUGUGAUGGUGUGUCAAAGAAAAUGUUAUAGCGUGUGAAUAGAAAAGAAGCUCUAAACAACUAUUAUUAUUAUUAUUCUUUGUUCUUUACUGACUGGAGACAUUGAAGACCCCAGUGACAAACAGAACAUAUUUGAACACCGACAGGACGGCUUGCUCUGUAAAUACUGAAGCUGAAUAACAAGUGUCAUACCAGCAUAUUUACAAAUGGUGAGUUCAGCGCACAGUUUUGAGAAAUAAAAAAAAAUCGUUGAUUGUUAUCUUUUGUCUAACCAACUCUUUUUUAAAGACAGCAGUAUCAUUUUGUUAAGAGUGAUCAAUUUAAUCCAAAACACACUGUUCUUAGUGAUGAAGAUUAGAAGUCUAGCCCAGGCCAGUGCUCUGAACACCCUGAGAGAAGACACAACUUGUUGUUUGUCGUUUGUUGGUGUUUGAUUCCUCCUGCUUGUCAGGAACACGUGCUCUCUCUCACCGUGGGAAAGGCUGUUUGUUGUGACGUUUAGUCUCUCAGUCAACUACUCUUAUAAAUUCAUUAGGAAUGUUACCAUUUUGAUACCAUACCUCAGUCCUGUGAGUUCAAAUGUGGAAUUGUUUAAUUUAUUUUUGCGGGAAAUAUAUGAAAAAUUUGAAAGGAAUAAUAAUAAAUCAUUGCAGUUUCCUAUUUGCACAUGUAUAUGUGGGCUAUUUAAGACGGCCUAUUGUUUGGUUGAAGAAUGAAGGAUUAUUGGAUGCGUCUCCUAGACUAGACAAACGUUCAGAGGUGAAUAUACGGCUUGGCAAAUAGUGAUUGAUUGAAAUCCGUUUGUUGAGGUCAUGUCUUUGGAUUUCUUUGUUUGGUGAAUCCAACCUCUGAUCUAGGACGUGCAGGAUCGUUUAGAUACAGCCAAUAGAAUAACACUGAAUAGAUGAAUCAUCCAGCAUCUGAACUAAUCUCUCUUUCAGAAUGUGUAGUGAGGGUUUUGCUCAGACAGACACAUGUACUCAGAUGUGCAGGAAGAUUUGGGAGCAGGGUGACAGAACGGUUUUUGUGUGAUAGAUUUUGAUGUAAUAUUUUCUCUCCUGCGAGUUUUUGUUAUUCUAGUUUUAUCUGAUUUGUGUCACUUUUUUGUAGCUCUUUUGUUCAGAACAACCAGGUGAAGAAUAAUGCUGGAUGCUUUUACAGUAAAUGAUAUGGAGGAUUGAGUGAUGAUUUAAACAAGACUACAGACAAAAAAAAAAAAAAAAAACAUUGUAAUGUUCAAAUGUAAAAGAAAAAGAAAUACAAAACUAUAAAAAGAAAAAAUGCUUCCUCGCUGAUUUCAAUUUUGAAUCAGGGGAUUUUAUUGAUAUUUUUGUGGUUAAUAUUGAUAAUUGUAAUAAUAUAUUAUUAAAAUGUACUGUGCAU